rnacentral:rRNA from 1 species
GGGAAGUCCUCGUGUUGCACCCCUUCUUUUUGCCCACUUCUCAAUCCGGCCAGCCCAUUUGUCUUUCUUUCUUCCUUUUCUCUACCCCGCCUCCCCUUCCUCCCCAGAAUCUAUAGGGCUGGGUUAGCGGCCGGAGGCCCCUAGUCUUGUUCAGAAUGUCGUUUCGCUUCAAGAAAGGAAAGGUCAACACCUAAUUCCACAAAGAAUUUGGUUAUGAACAGUAAAAACCUAUUUUUUUCUUAAAAAAAACAAAAUAAAGAAUAACCAAAGCGAAUAAAAAUCCAACAGUCGGAUCACAGGUUACAGCCCUCUUGAGCCCCCGCCCCGUCGCGGCGGUGCCUGAACCGCCGGGGAUCCUCCCAUCGCUCCCCGAUCCUCCUCUUCGAAGUGCUUAUAGCAAUUGCGCGUGCAUGGACUAACGGGUGCGAUCAUACCAGCAC